rnacentral:misc_RNA from 1 species
UUUCCGUAGGUGAACCUGCGGAAGGAUCAUUACAGAGUUCAUGCCCUCACGGGUAGAUCUCCCACCCUUGAAUAUUUAUACCUUAGUUGCUUUGGCAGGCCGUGGAAACACCAUGGGCUCCGGCUUAUGCGUGCCUGCCAGAGGAAACAAACUCUGAUUUUAGUGAUGUCUGAGUACUAUAUAAUAGUUAAAACUUUCAACAACGGAUCUCUUGGUUCUG